ensembl:lncRNA
CUCAAAGCGAAGAAGAAACGAUCUGAGAGAAAAGAAGCAUGAAAAGGGCUAAGACGAAAGGUAAAAAGUUUAAGAAGAUAAGAUAAAUAAGAAGAGCGAAGAAAACCCAGGCUAAUUCCUCUCUCGGUACUCAGCCAACGAGAUACAGCACCGUGUAGAGUUACAGCAACAUGGGAAUUAAGCUCAUCGGCUGAUUCGUGCACACAGAGGGCAUAUAAAAGCAAUUUUGAAUGCAAAUUAGACUUCCCUUCCAAGGCAGCGUUCACCGCUGGCUGACCUCGGACUGAGACACGCAGAGGACAACAGCAGCUCGGGGAUGAGAAGAAAAUGAGGAGAAUGGCCGUGAUGAAAGAAUGACACUGGACACUGCUGUCCCUGCUGCUGCGACAACAGAUGCAGCUUCAUAAAUCUGUGAUUCCCCUGAAAGCUAUCGGCCUGAAUACAGACGACAAUAAUGUUGGUUCUCCGCUCUGAGGAGACCUGGGAGGGAAGAAGAACAGGCUGCAAGGUUUAGGUCAAGAGAAGUCAUUGUUAUCACAUUUAAAACAACGUGCUGUCCAAAAGAGAACUGAGAGAAAUUUUUAUUAAUUUACAUAUCAAGUUUGACAUUAAAGUUAAGGUUACACUCUAAAAACGGAACAUUUUAAACUGUUGCUUCUAAACUUUCUCUUUUGUUUCUCUGUGGUCAUUUUCAAUCCAUUUUAUGGUCAUUUUAUGCCUUUUUAUGACCAUUUUAAGUCUGUUUGUGAUAAUUUUAGGUGUUUUUGUGGUCAUUUUAAUAUUUUUUGUAGUUAUUUUGUGUGUCUGUUGUCAUUUUGUGCCUUUAUAUGAUAAUUGUUUGUCUCACUGAGUCAUUUAGUGUUUUUUGUGGUCAUUUUGUGUAAUUUUUUUCAUUUUGUGCAUUUUUGGGUCAUGUUGUGUCCCUUUGUGCAUUUUUGUGGUCAUGUUGUGUCUUUUUAUGGUAAUUUUGUGCAUUUUUGGUCAUUUUGCACAUCUUUGUGGUCAUUUUCAGUCUGUUUGUCAUCAUUUUAGGUGCUUUUGUGGUCAUUUUGUGUGUCUCUGUGACCAUUUUGCAACUUUUUGUAGUUAUUUGUGUGUCUCUUGUCAUUUUAUAUCUUUAUAUACAUGGUGUUUGGUUAUAGACAGUUAUAGGCAUGUUGAUUUUAGGCCUGAAAACAGCAAAAAUGUCAACUAUGAUACCUGUCAACUAUGUUACAAAAAGUCCCACAGUUAUAUAUUGACCCAAAAGUUGUUAUUCAGCAAAUUAGAUAGGACCUCUAAGAAUUUAUAAGUGAUUCUUUAAACUGAUUUGCUACGGUGAUGAUCUGAUAAUUGAUCAUUUGCAGCCUGAAACUUCAGAGAAUAUUAUUCAUAUUCAAAAAAUAUUAACAGUUCAUGGAAAAUAAAAAUUUGUAUAUUUAAAAACUAAAAAUUCAGCGGCUCAGAAACUGUAAAUAAGUCAAUAAAGCAUGUUUUUUUUUCUUGG